AAGUUCCUUCGGGACACGGGAUACAGGUGGUGCAUGGUUGUCGUCAGCUCGUGUCGUGAGAUGUUGGGUUAAGUCCCGCAACGAGCGCAACCCCUAUUGUUAGUUGCCAUCAUUAAGUUGGGCACUCUAACGAGACUGCCGGUGAUAAACCGGAGGAAGGUGGGGAUGACGUCAAAUCAUCAUGCCCCUUAUGACCUGGGCUACACACGUGCUACAAUGGAUGGUACAACGAGUCGCGAGACAGUGAUGUUUAGCUAAUCUCUUAAAACCAUUCUCAGUUCGGAUUGUAGGCUGCAACUCGCCUACAUGAAGUCGGAAUCGCUAGUAAUCGCGGAUCAGCACGCCGCGGUGAAUACGUUCCCGGGCCUUGUACACACCGCCCGUCACACCACGGGAGUUGGGAGUACCCGAAGUAGGUUGCCUAACCGCAAGGAGGGCGCUUCCUAAGGUAAGACCGAUGACUGGGGUGAAGUCGUAACAAGGUAGCCGUAUCGGAAGGUGCGGCUGGAUCACCUCCUUU
rnacentral:rRNA from 1 species